AUUGAACGCUGGCGGCAUGCCUUACACAUGCAAGUCGAACGGCAGCAUGGAGAGCUUGCUCUCUGAUGGCGAGUGGCGAACGGGUGAGUAAUGCAUCAGAACGUACCGUGUAAUGGGGGAUAACGUAGCGAAAGUUACGCUAAUACCGCAUACGACCUGAGGGUGAAAGCAGGGGAUCGCAAGACCUUGCGUUAUACGAGCGGCCGAUGUCAGAUUAGCUAGUUGGUGAGGUAAAGGCUCACCAAGGCGACGAUCUGUAGCGGGUCUGAGAGGAUGAUCCGCCACACUGGGACUGAGACACGGCCCAGACUCCUACGGGAGGCAGCAGUGGGGAAUUUUGGACAAUGGGGGCAGCCCUGAUCCAGCCAUGCCGCGUGAGUGAAGAAGGCCUUCGGGUUGUAAAGCUCUUUCGGCCGGGAAGAAAUCGCACAGGCUAAUACUCUGUGUGGAUGACGGUACCGGCAUAAGAAGCACCGGCUAACUACGUGCCAGCAGCCGCAGUAA
rnacentral:rRNA from 1 species